GGUUAAUACUGUGACAUACUUCAACUUUAAUCAAAAAAUAGAAUUUCAAAACUUAUAUUUCAAACAAACACCUGUAACCAUUACUAAAUGUGUGAUAUUGAUAGAGACUUUUCAUACUGUACUGAUGUUAGUUGUAAAGAAUAAUUUUGAAAAAACUCUUGAUACUUUUAGAAGAUAUUUCAACCAGCUUAGACCUGAAGGCUUUGUCUACAAAUAUUUACAUUCAGUUUUACUUAAAUUAUCAGUUUUGAAUUCCCAAACCAUAACCUACAGCUUUGCCUUCAAAGCUACUAGAGGUUAAAAGAUUUUUUUAAACGCCCUUGUGAGGUCACAGAGGCUGCCAAGAGGCCAGUAAGAGAAAGCAGACCUCACUGCCUGAAUGUCAAUUAUCCAGCCCCUGGGCACUCGCUCACAGAGUGCCACAGCUUAAAAUCAUUAUAAAGAUAGCAUUAAGACAAUUAAACAAAUUACUUGGAAUCAAGAGUACUUAAAAUCUAUCCCUAACGUGAAUAAAAGGUACCAGAGGACAACCUCAGAAAUUGAGGGAAAUUACAGAAAAGUGUUACAACAUGAGAUACUCAAGGACUGUUAUAGACGAGGCAGCAUGGGGUUUGAAGGAAGACAGCACUAGCAGGAAAAGAACUUCACAGAUGACCUCAAACAUAUGAAUGCAGCCCAGAGGAAACGCAAGUAACUAAGUUACUUUCCUUCAAGUACACAAUGAAUAAGAAAGAGUAACUUGAACUUGCAUUAAGAAAAAUUUAGGUUAGGUAUUUUAAACACCAUCCCAUAAAAAAGGGCUGUAAAUCGCCACAAUGACUGAGAAAUUUAUCAGCAUACUUCAGUCAUUUAAGAAUGUGAUAAACAAAAGAUUUGUUAAAAACUAA